rnacentral:rRNA from 1 species
GACGGUGUUAAUAUUGACUCGACGGGCAGCUUCCGGGAAACCAAAGUUUAUAGGUUCCGGGGGAAGUAUGGUUGCAAAGCUUAAACUUAAAGGAAUUGACGGAAGGGCACCACCAGGAGUGGAGCCUGCGGCUUAAUUUGACUCAACACGGGGAAACUCACCCGGCCAGGACACAAUAAGGAUUGACAGAUUGAUAGCUCUUUCUUGAUUUUGUGGGUGGUGGUGCAUGGCCGUUCUUAGUUGGUGGAGCGAUUUGUCUGGUUAAUUCCGAUAACGAACGAGACUCUAGCCUAUUAAAUAGACGAUAUAUCUUAUUAGUAUAUCGAGCUUCUUAGAGGGACGAGCAGCUUCUAGCUGCACGAGAUUGAGCAAUAACAGGUCUGUGAUGCCCUUAGAUGUCCGGGGCUGCACGCGCGCUACAAUGAAAAUAGCAGCGCGUUUCGAAAACCUUUUCUGGAAAGUAUUGGUAAACGCGAAAUAUUUUCGUGAUUGGGAUAGGGGAUUGCAAUUAUUGCCCUUGAACGAGGAAUUCCCAGUAAAUUCGAGUCAUCAGCUCGAGUUGAUUACGUC